rnacentral:tRNA from 1 species
GGGCCGUUAGCUCAGCUGGUAGAGCACCGGACUUUUAAUCCGUGUGUCGCAGGUUCGAACCCUGCACGGCCCACCA